UGGGAAUGCUGUACAAACCUGAUUCAAUAUUCACAGGAGGCUCUGAGGGGACAUGAUCGUUCUUCUGCCAGGCGCGCACGAACGGACUCGAGUUCCGCAGCUUCCCCGGACUUGCUCGGUGGCGAAUCUGCCGUUGCGGCACACUGGGCGGGCGCGUAAGGCCCCAGCGGGACGUUUGUGAAAUCUGCUGUGGGGAGAACGACGCCAGGGUCUCUUGGGCGACUGCAGCCAUGGCGGCGGCUGCUCCCAGUGCCGGCGGCUCCGUGCCCCAGGCGGCGGGCUCCGCCGAAGCGCCGCUGCAGUACAGCCUUCUUCUGCAGCACCUGGUGGGUGACAAGCGCCAGCCCAGGCCCCUGGAGCCCGGGAGCCUGGGCGGGAUCCCGAGCCCGACCAAGAGUGAGGAGCAGAAGAUGAUCGAGAAGGCGAUGGAAAGCUGCGCCUUCAAGGCAGCGCUGGCCUGCGUGGGAGGAUUUGUCUUGGGAGGUGCAUUUGGGGUGUUCACCGCCGGCAUUGAUACCAAUGUGGGCUUUGACCCCAAGGAUCCUUACCGGACUCCGACAGCAAAAGAAGUUCUUAAGGACAUGGGGCAGAGAGGAAUGUCCUAUGCCAAAAAUUUUGCCAUUGUGGGCGCCAUGUUUUCUUGCACUGAGUGUUUGGUCGAAUCUUACCGGGGGAAGUCAGAUUGGAAGAACAGUGUCAUUAGUGGCUGCAUCACUGGAGGAGCCAUUGGUUUCAGAGUUGAGGAUUCUUAGAUUUCUACCCAUGGAAACCAAAUAUAGACAUUGAAGAAAUGUUGGAUUAUCAGCUGAAAACAACAAAGAAGGAAACUAAUCUCCUGCCACUUCGCCCUGUUGGCAUUCCCAUCAGGAGUGUGGUAUAAGGGCUGGCUUAAAUGCUGGGGUCAUUGGUUGUGGCGGUUUUGCUGCUUUCUCUGCUGCAAUCGAUUAUUAUCUACGGUGAGAGUGACUGCCUCCGGGGACGGACACCACCACCUAGGACCAGAGCUGCUCUGUGGAGGGCAUUUCUGCACCACUCCAGGGCCCUCGCUCCAGACCCUGAAGACAUUUGUUUCCUCUCAGACAGUCCAUGUUGUGAGGAGCCGCCUGGCCACUGGACGCCUCCAGCCUCUGAGCAGCCACUCUCUCUGCUCCUGGACGCCAGCCUCUCUCUCUCCGGCAGAUUAGGAGUCAGUGUGUUGACUUGUAGAAAGAUCCAGUGCUGACCACACUUGGCCCCCUGGCUGGUUGGUGCUGUGGGGACGGAGGUGACUUUACAGACCCAGGAAGCUGCUCGACCUUGGAACUCCAUGCAGUCAUCCCUCUCACGUACCCGUCAGGGCAGGGCAGAGUACAUGUAUGCCUGCUGACCAAUUAUGUCACUUUGUUUAGCCUUCUGCUGUCCUUGUUUAAAAAAUGUAUUUAUAUGACAGCUUAAAAAUGGUUUAUUUUUAUUUUCAAAUUCCAUAAUUCCCCAAAAUGGUGCCAGGUGGCCCAAAGAUUGAACAUUCAAAGGAGAAAAAUUGAGAAAGCUCCUGAGAAAUCUGGGAUUGCCAGAUUUUCAGGGUUUGUAGUUGUGUGACCCUCAUCAAGACUGUUAUGUCAGCCAGGACCUUCCAUCCAAGAAGCCAGCCUCGCCCCUUCCUAGGACGCAUCGAAACCCCAGGCAUAAGUCCUACUGCCCUCUUCUAAAAAGCCCUCCUGUGGGCGGCUGAUAGGGAUGCCUGUGGGCUGAGCCACUGACUGGUGUUACGCUCUGAGCACUGACUCGGCCUGGCUCCAGGACAUGCGAGGAGCCUGCUCCCCUCAUUCUGACGAAGUCACAGCAGGUACUGGGUCAAGUCAGACAUCGCUGAGGGGCUGUUCACCACUCCCUUGCUCUCUGGUACGUGUUGUUUUGCUUUAACAUGUGUUUUACUUGACCUGGUAGCCCUCUUCUGACAACAAAAGCUCAGUCUUACUGUGUAUCAUAGACAAAAACAAUAGCCUUUUAUGAUUA